CUCAUCCCCGGCAGCGUGGGCCGCCUCCCGGUGCGCAGGGCAGCCCCUCCUGCAGCCUUGCCGAGCGUGGCGGGCGCCGAGCCCUGGGGGUGUGUGGUGCUCCCUUUUGGCCGCCGAGCGACCAUGAGCUGCAGCGAGGUGGCCCCGGAGAGCAGUGAUGAUCCCAUUGCCUCUUCAGGAGAAAAAGAUUGCCCCAGCUCCAACCUAGAUACUUCAAAGGACUCUGAAUCAGGAGAGGACAGCAGUUCCGAGAGCACCUCUGAAAGUGACUCUGAUAAUGAGGAGCCAGAAACAGAAAAAACAAAUGAGGAACUGGGAGAGUCUUCCGCCGAGGGCCCUUCC